rnacentral:rRNA from 1 species
AUUGAACGCUGGCGGCAGGCCUAACACAUGCAAGUCGAGCGGAGCGGCGGACGGGUGAGUCAUGCCUAGGAAUCUGCCUGGUAGUGGGGGAUAACGUACGGAAACGGGCGCUAAUACCGCAUACUAUCAGAUGAGCCUAGGUCGGAUUAGCUAGUUGGUGGGGUAAAGGCCUACCAAGGCGACGAUCCGUAACUGGUCUGAGAGGAUGAUCAGUCACACUGGAACUGAGACGCGGUCCAGACUCCUAAGGGAGGGAGCAGUGGGUAAAAUUGGACAAUGGGCGAAAGCCUGAUCCAGCCAUGCCGCGUGUAUGAGGAAGGCCUUCGGGUUGUAAAGUACUUUCAGUCGGGAGGCGUUACCGACAGAAGAAGCACCGGAUAACUCCGUGCCAGCAGCCGCGGUAAUUC